rnacentral:rRNA from 1 species
GCGAGUGAAGCGGCAAAAGCUCAAAUUUGAAAACCCUCGGGUGUUGUAAUUUGAUGAGGCCGGGUUGGACAGACAACAAGUGCGUUGGAACACGCCGCCACAGAGGGUGACAGCCCCGUAGUCAGUCCACUAAACCCGUCCUCCAAGAGUCGAGUUGUUUGGGAAUGCAGCUCUAACGGGUGGUAAAUUCCAUCUAAAGCUAAAUAUUGGCGAGAGACCGAUAGCGAACAAGUACAGUGAUGGAAAGAUGAAAAGCACUUUGAAAAGAGAGUGAAAAAGUACGUGAAAUUGUUGAAAGGGAAGGGGAAGUAGCGGGAGGCAGGUGAUGGGAGUCGGGGGUCAAAACGGGGUGGAUAUGUAGCUCCUAGAGUGAUAUAGCCCGCCUUGAUAGCCCCACGGCAUCCACCACCUACCACAACCACUACUUCUCGCCC